rnacentral:rRNA from 1 species
AUUGAACGCUGGCGGCAGGCCUAACACAUGCAAGUCGAACGAAUGGCGGACGGGUGAGUAAGUUCUGGGAAAGUGCCAGAUGGAGGGGGCUGACUACUGUCAAAGGUAGCUAAUACCGCUUACCAUCGGUUGUGGCCACAGGGGAUUAGGUAGUGGGGGGGGUAAUGGCUCACAUAGGCCACGCUGCCUAGCUGGUCUGGGAGGAUGAUCAGCCACACUGGAACGGAGACAAGGCCCAGACGCCUACGGGAGGCAGCAGUGGGGAAUAUUGCACAAGGGGCGCAAGUCUGAUGGAGCCACGCCGCGUGUAUGAAGAAGGCCUUCGGGUUGUAAAGUACUGUUAGCGAGGAGGCGGUAUUCGCCGAGGAAGCACCGGCUAACUACGUGCCAGCAGCCGCGGUAAUAC